UACAGAGGUCCCGAGCGUUGUUCGGAUUCACUGGGCGUAAAGGGUGCGUAGGUGGUCGGGUAAGUCUGAUGUGAAAUCUCUGGGCUCAACCCAGAAAUGGCAUUGGAUACUAUUCGGCUAGAGGAGUGGAGGGGGGACUGGAAUACUUGGUGUAGCAGUGAAAUGCGUAGAUAUCAAGUGGAACACCAGUGGCGAAGGCGAGUCCCUGGACACUUCCUGACACUGAGGCACGAAAGCUAGGGGAGCAAACAGG
rnacentral:rRNA from 1 species